rnacentral:rRNA from 1 species
GGGCUUGACAUCCCACGAACCUGCCCGAAAAGGUGGGGUGCCCGCAAGGGAGCGUGGAGACAGGUGGUGCAUGGCUGUCGUCAGCUCGUGUCGUGAGAUGUUGGGUUAAGUCCCGCAACGAGCGCAACCCUCACCCCUAGUUGCCACCGGGUUAAGCCGAGCACUCAAGGGGAACUGCCAGCGUCAAGCUGGAGGAAGGCGGGGAUGACGUCAAGUCAUCAUGCCCCUUACGCCCUGGGCUACACACGUGCUACAAUGGCCAGUACAAAGGGACGCGAGUCUGCGAAGCGGAGCUAAUCCCAAAAAGCUGGUCUAAGUCCAGAUUGCAGUCUGCAACUCGACUGCAUGAAGGAGGAAUCGCUAGUAAUCGCGCAUCAGCCCGGCGCGGUGAAUACGUUCCCGGGCCUUGUACACACCGCCCGUCACACCACGAAAGCUGUCUGUACUCGAAGUCGCUGAG